AUACCAGACUCCUACGGGAGGCAGCAGUGAGGAAUAUUGGUCAAUGGCCGAGAGGCUGAACCAGCCAAGUCGCGUGAGGGAUGACGGCCCUACGGGUUGUAAACCUCUUUUGUCGGGGAGCAAAGAGAGUCACGUGUGGCUCAUUGAGAGUACCCGAAGAAAAAGCAUCGGCUAACUCCGUGCCAGCAGCCGCGGUAAUACGGAGGAUGCGAGCGUUAUCCGGAUUUAUUGGGUUUAAAGGGUGCGCAGGGGGAAGAUCAAGUCAGGGGUAAAAUUGAGGGGCUCAACCUCUGCGAGCCGUUGAAACUGGUUUUCUUGAGUGAGCGAGAAGUAUGCGGAAUGCGUGGUGUAGCGGUGAAAUGCAUAGAUAUCACGCAGAACUCCGAUUGCGAAGGCAGCAUACCGGCGCUCAACUGACGCUCAUGCACGAAAGUGUGGGUAUCGAACAGGAUUAGAUACCCGGGUAC
rnacentral:rRNA from 1 species